UCAGGGCUACUGAGAAGAUUAACUAAGAUACUGUGACCAAAACAUCUGCUAUCCAUAUAAAAACAGCUACAGGGAGCAAGAGUGCGAUGCCUGCACCGGAGUGCGGAGAGCCGGAUGCUCAAAAUUCAGAGUGCCAGGAUUACAAGCCAACGCCACCACACAUACGAUAUUAAUUGUGUGCUUCAGUAGGAAAUCUACUCACUGCCUUGUUGAACCUGGGCCUUGUGCUAGGUCCCCCAAGGUAAUUGGAGAGAAGUAGGAGAUUUGAAUGAAACAACC
rnacentral:lncRNA from 1 species